CUCAUCAUGUGAUGAAAACAACAUAAUCUUAGGACACCUUCCAACACAGCUUUGUUUAGAAGCUGUGGAUGAGAAAGACAUUUCAAUUCUGAUGAUGGU